CACUGUGAGAAUGUCCUCACUUCUUGCUGGUCUGAGUCCUGCCCAUUGUGGCUCCUGUGUGAGUCCCUCUUGUCCAGGGUCUUCCUCUGUCACUGCCCCUGACUUUCCCAAACACAAGGGCCUUAGUUUCACUGGCUCUCGUUUUUCUCCUAGUUUCUUAAGGACUGCCAUUAAAUUCUUAAUUGAGGAGCUUCUGUCUUUUAAAAAAAAUGUGUUUACAGCUAUGAAUUUCCCUCAGAAUACUACUUUUGCUGCAUCCCACUAAUUUCACUAUAUUUGGUUUCCAUGUUUUGCUUUGAUCUUCUGGUUAGAGCGUAUCACUUAAUUUCCACAUCUGUAACAUUUCCAGUUUUCCUGCUGCUACCGAUUUCUCAUUUCACUCCACUGUGAUUAGAAAAGAUGUGUUGAAUGAAUGCAAUCUCUGUGAAUGUAUUAACAAUUGUGCUGUGGUCUAACUUAUGUUCGAUUCUGGAAGAUGUUCUAUGUGCACUGGAGAAGACUGUGUAAAGUUUUGCAUCUGAUUCUCAUGUCCCAGGAGGACCUGGAGGCCUCCCUGAAGGCAAAGAAGAGUCAGAUCCAGGAGACAGAGGCCCAAAUUAAGCAGCUUGAGGAAAAGACCCAAGAACUGGAGAAGGUGCUGCAGGAGAAGGAGGUGCUGCUCAGAAAACAGAAAGAGGCCUCAGCUCAGAACAAGAGCAGCAAUUCCAGCAGCUCCUCGGUGGCCACCGGGCUCCUGCUGCUUCUGUCCCUGGGUCUUGUGGUUGUGCUGCUCUGAGGUCCCACACCCCAGGAACUCUGAGGUUGCAGCCUUGAUGGUCCAUUUCUACUCAGCUGCCUUCUUAGAGGACCCCUUGAUGUGGCUGACCUUGGGGGAAGCAAAAGACAGUGUUAUAGGGAGCCUGGGGGUGGUAUUAUGGGAGGGAUAGAGUAGUAUUCUAGAAGACAUGGGGUCGUAUUAUGAGGGAUAGUAUUAUUGUAUUACUGGAGGAGAGUAUUAUUGGGGGAAUGGGGUACCAGCGGAGAACACAGGCUAACAUUAGAGGGCCCAGGGUAGUCCUGGGGUAAGAGGUAGAUAAGCUGGCCACAGGCUGCUUCCUGCAGAGCUGGCAGGGUGUGAGCCAUCUGGGGGUAGAAGCACAGGGUGGGGUUGCCUGGGUCCCUGCUGUGGUCAUUGGGAAUGUCACUCUAUCCUAUGUCUUCAGUCUCCAAAACAUAAUAAAACCUUCCUGCGAGGGAAAAAUCGGG